UAUUGAGGGCGCAUGCUGCAUGUUCUUGAGCCACACGAUCUUUCCCGAAGUGAACUUUAGAUCGACCGAACCAACACCAAGAAUAGAAGCAUGCAAGCCGUUCCCCAUCAUGAUGGUUGAACCUCGUGCGAUCUGAGCUGUGGCAAAGUUUCUCCAUGAUGGAGGCAACUUGGUAAUGAUACUACCAGCGACAAACUUGUCGGGCAAGAUGUGUCUGAGUUGUUCAAGUUCUCUCAAAAUAAGUUGGAACUCAUGAGCCUGUUCCACGAUUGAACGGUUUUUAACCAUUUUGAAGUUGUGGUACUUCUCCAUCACAUACAACUCGUGACCAACGUCUAUAGCACCAAACUUAUGUUCAAGUGCCUCCCACAGUUCAGUAGCACUUUUGAUGUUCAUGUAAACAUCACACAAGUGGUCAGAGAGAAUGCUAAGAACGUAUUCGAUGAAAAUCAUCGUAGCCGCAUUAAACUCUUGUCUUUCUCAGAUCUGAGAGGUAGUGCGGGAGGAUUACCCACGACCCAAAACACGCCCCAUCCAUGAGCCACAACUGGGCCCUCGUUUGCCAUCUCUUGAAAUUCACACCAGUGAACUUCUCUGGUUUCAUCGCAUCAGUAUAUCCCUUAGUCAUUGCUAAAUGCCUAUCAGGUUUUUGGAUUGUUGGAAAUAAAAGCAAUUUAGCGAUGCAUAGAUUAAUUCUGACAACAAGAAACAGACUAACGACAUGUAUCACAGAUAUAUGAAUCAAAACUAGCACUACGAUUUGAAUCAAAUUUACGGGGUCUAGUGCUAGCAACAAAAAUGAUAUGAGACCGAACAACAGAGAGAGGAUAGACAUCCUUAUAGUGGGGUUGUCGACGCGAAGGAAGAAGAGGAAGAAGACGAAGACCAUCGAUGGAGAUCGGCGAACACCGGGCGUAGAGGGAAGAAGACGUCCAGUGAGCAGCCGCAACGGUGCUUCCCAAAAACCUGAUACGCCCCCUACCCCGUGUAGGGACGCGAGGAGACGUAGGCUUUGAAGCCUGCUCUCCUGACACCGAUGCCACAUCGGCGACGAGAUGGGGAAGAUGGUGGCAGCGUAGUAAUGUGGUGAGGAAGAGAUGAAUCUCUUGGUCCAAAGAAUGGUGUCUCGCCCCAUAUUUAUACACACGUCGCACGCAGCAAAUUGGAAAGCAAUCAAUCACAGUAUUAUGGAAACAUUACCUGUCGUUUACGCACUUACCAUAAUACGAGAAUAAUUUCUUACCAAA